AUACGUAGGUGGCGAGCGUUGUCCGGAAUUACUGGGCGUAAAGGGCGCGUAGGCGGCUUUUUAAGUUAGAUGUGAAAACCCGGGGCUUAACUCCGGGCGUGCAUUUAAAACUGGAGAGCUUGAGUGCAGGAGAGGUAAGUGGAAUUCCUAGUGUAGCGGUGAAAUGCGUAGAUAUUAGGAGGAACACCAGUGGCGAAGGCGACUUACUGGACUGUAACUGACGCUGAGGCGCGAAAGCGUGGGGAGC
rnacentral:rRNA from 1 species